AGUUAUGUUUAUAUUGGUUGAGGAACAAUUUCACAGGCUCACAAAUUUCAUCGAGGAUUGGUAUAUUUAUAGGAUUGGCACAUCUCAAUCUCUCUAGUUCUUCCUUCUCGGGGAUCAUUCCUCUGGAGAUGAUAUCUCAUCACCUUUCCAGCCUAAUUUCACUCGAUCUCUCUAGCGACUACACCCUAAUUUCCGAUCAUUCCGGUCUACUUUCAUUCUUUCUCCCUAGUAACUUCCACCUAACAGUAGAAGAGGAUCAUAGUUUCAGAAGGUUUAUUAGUAAUCUCACUCAGCUGAGAGAACUUGCUCUUGAUUUUAUAGACAUGUCAAGAGUUUCUCUUACCUCCUUCACGAAUCUCUCUUCCACUCUGACUUCUUUAAGUCUUGGUGGCUGCUUUCGACAAGAGACAUUCCCAAUUAACAUCUUCCAUCUCCCAAACCUCCGCAUUCUCUCUCUUUCUGGUUUUGGUAUGCACUCACCUGACUGAAUUACUUGAUGAGAGCUAUUUGCUGAAGGUAUGAGACGCCUUUCAGUCAUCUGCAGCUGCUGUUUCCUCUUUGGGAGGUCACAUACUAUUUUUCAUGACAAUGUCAGUCGGAGAAGAUCACGUUCUGCACCAUGAGUGUACUAAGGCCUGAAGAUGCUUCAGCAGAUAUUGAGGACAUUGUUUUUCUUUACCGGUAUAACUUACCUCUGUUCUUGAUCGCAUGAAGUAGCAAUCAGAAGUUUUUAGUUUCACCAUUCAGAUAGAGAUAAUUGAGCUUUCGACAAUGAAGGAUCCUCCUUUGACAAGAUUGCCAUUCUUUGUUCAGGCUAGUUCCUGGAUACACGCUUCUGAGCUAUGGUAAAACAGAUAUGUAUGCUUAGUGUUGAGAUGCAUUUCAUAAGGCUUUAUUAGGAAACUCCCAUCUAAGUUAUACUUUCUCCAGGUCUUCAUUGUGCACUCCUCGCUGGUAUACUUCUAAACUCUCUUAAGCUGUGAAAUGAGGAAUUUGUCGCUUAAAAUGAGAAAUAUUUGUGCCAUGCCUUGUCCAGAAAUUUUAACAAGAGGAUUGCUUAGGUGUUCGGAGAAGAUAAUGAUCUGCAGAAUUUAUUAAUGAAGUCGUGUUGUUUUUCAACUGUCAUGAGAUGGUGCUUUCAUCAUAAGAGUUCUUUCUAGUAGAACUCUUUCGGGCAAACUAUCAGCCCAUGCUUAUUAAAAUAUGGAACUAAAGCGCAUUGUGUAUAUGGUUUAAAAUGUCAUGAAUGUGGUCCUUGAGCGUACAGUUUGGAAAAGAUGGAAUUUCUCAGUAAGGCUUCUUUACUUUAUACAAGAUGGUGCAAAUAAGAUGGAAUAUGAAAUGACCUUGUAUUCAUUUCAUUUUUGGCAUUUGUUGAGUAUUCGGUUUCUAAGCUUGCUCCUAGACUUGUAUAUUCCUGGCUGCCACGUAUUUCGUUGCUGCAUCUCUUCUGGAUCAGUGGUUUCCUCAAAAAGUUAAUUUGAUGCUUUGCUUGUGCAGGUGUUCCGAAGGCAGUGAUUGACAGAGCUGCAUUGAUUCUAGGUAGCCCUGGGAACAAUCAGACCACUGAUAGAAUGCACAAUGAGAGAAUAUUGGCUCAAGAUCAGCAAUACAAGAAUACAUUGGAGAAGAUGCUGGCAUUUGAUACAAUUCGUGAUGAUCUCAGAAGCUUCUCUCGGGAAAUAUUAGCAUCGUAAUAUCUGAGGCAUGAAGUAAUUCUUUUCUUUGGCAACAGCGUACGUUCUGCUGUCGAGAUUCGUAUGUGUAUUUGUCGAGGAUUAGAUGAUGGAUAUACUACUCCCGCCUGGUGUAGGGGACUAGUAGCAGCCGCUUCCAGUGGUGGUUAGAUACGUUCUUUUAUUCUUCCUCUUAGAAGAAAAUAAGGAAGCUUUUCCUUUUCUGGGAUGUUGGGAAGUAUGGCAUUUUCUUAGACAGGUAAACCAUCAAAUCUUUCCCAACCAGCUGAAUAUAUAUAUAUAUAUAUAUUCGUGUACUGUAUAUAACACAUUAUAAAGGGCAAAGGCAAAAAGAACAGGGUGACUCUAUAUUUAACUUGAAUAUAAUUUAUUGAUUACAGCUUGGCCAUGCUCUGUAGUUUCCGUUUCUCAAGCUGCAAUCAAGUAUGUCUUUGACUGAUGGAGAUAUAUCUAGCUUAUAAAAUUAUAAGAAAGAUUUUUAUCUUUUAAAUUUCUUUUCAUUCUGGAAUUCAUGAAUUGUAUUACCUAUUUUGUUGUCUCUAAUAAUUAAUGUAUAUAGUCUACUAUAUAUUUUAUUUCUUUAUAUAUAUUAUUGGAUUAUAUGCAUAUAAUUUAUAUAUUCUACUACAUAAUUAAAGAUAGACAAUUUGGUACAUACAUAAUGAUGACGUGGCAACGCGAGAGAGCUCCGUCUUUUUUUUAUUUUUAAUGAUGUGGCAGCUUGAGAAUUAAGCUCUUGCUUCAUUUUCAUAUAUAUAUAUAUAUAUGUAUAUAUAUAUAUAGAUGGGUCUUCCUAUUCUUUAUUCUUGAUGCGACAAAUCAAAUCAGAGAGAGAGAGAGAUAUCGAGUGAGAGAGAGAGGAAAUUAGAGCGAUUAUGGAAAUAGUAAAGUGUUCAUGUUAGGUAAGUGAUUGUGACUCAUACUAGUAUUUGUGAAAUAUAAAAUAUUUUUUUAUAGAAAAUAAUAUUAUGAAAUCGAUAUUGAUUUGCGUUUAUUGUUUGCUAAAACUAUUAUUAAUUUUGUGAAUAUGUUUUGAUAUCGAAAUUUGUGGAAUUUUGUUUGUGUAUGGGUACAUUUGGCUUUGACCUGGGCUCCACCAAUGGAGAUAUAAACUGGAUUAAGUGAUUAAGAUUUAUUGGUCUUCUCACGAGCUAAUGUGAGCGUAGUCAUUUGUAUUAUUGUGUGUUAAUUUUCAAUCUGUGUUCCACAAUUAAAAUAUAUAUGUCUGAUUAUGAAAUGAAUUAUUUUACCUGCAUGAUCUAGAUAGUAUUGGUCACUGUCACUUACUAGGUUCUCUCUGAAUUGACCCCCCAGUUCUCCUUUCAGAUGAUAUUACAGGUUUAAGAGUUAUCAGAGUGCGCAGCGGAAGCAAAAAUGGAUUUUUAGGAUUUUAUUUGUUAAUUGUAUUUACAGAUUAUUUAUAGAAUAAUAAUGUAUUAUUACAUAUUUGUAAAAUUUAUGUAUUUAUGGAUACGUAUGAAAACCUUAAGUAUAUUAUAACUCAAUGAAAUUUUCGGAUUUUUCAAAGCCCGGAAAA